AAGAAACUGACGGAAGAUUGUAUAAGCGGUGGAGUAUGUGGUUUAAUUUGAUAUAACGCAAAGAAUCUUACCAACCCUUGAAUACAAGUUAUUUUAUCUUUAAUGAGGAAUUUAUUUUUCUCUAUUAAGGCUCUUUAUAUAGUAUUAUUAUAUUUACUAUAUUGACUUGUACAGGUGCUGCAUGGUUGUCGGCAGUUCGUGUUGUGAAAUGUUUUGUUAAUUCAUUUAACGGACGUAACCUUCAGUUUUAUUUGAUUUCUAAAUAGAGCAAUAUUAAUUUGAAAAUUAAUUGAGAGGAGAA
rnacentral:rRNA from 1 species